AUUGAACGCUGGCGGCAGGCCUAACACAUGCAAGUCGAGCGGAUGAAGGGAGCUUGCUCCUGGAUUCAGCGGCGGACGGGUGAGUAAUGCCUAGGAAUCUGCCUGGUAGUGGGGGAUAACGUCCGGAAACGGGCGCUAAUACCGCAUACGUCCUGAGGGUGAAAGUGGGGGAUCUUCGGACCUCACGCUAUCAGAUGAGCCUAGGUCGGAUUAGCUAGUUGGUGGGGUAAAGGCCUACCAAGGCGACGAUCCGUAACUGGUCUGAGAGGAUGAUCAGUCACACUGGAACUGAGACACGGUCCAGACUCCUACGGGAGGCAGCAGUGGGGAAUAUUGGACAAUGGGCGAAAGCCUGAUGCAGCAAUGCCGCGUGUGUGAAGAAGGUCUUCGGAUUGUAAAGCACUUUAAGUUGGGAGGAAGAGAAGUAAGUUAAUACCUGGCUGUUUUGACGUUACCAACAGAAUAAGCACCGGCUAACUUCGUG
rnacentral:rRNA from 1 species